GUCCGGCCAGCUCGAUGUCUGGGCACCGUCCUGACACGACGGAGGCCGCCGGUUCGACGCCGGCGCCGGACAC
rnacentral:tRNA from 1 species